rnacentral:rRNA from 1 species
UACGAAGGGGGCUAGCGUUGCUCGGAAUCACUGGGCGUAAAGGGUGCGUAGGCGGGUCUUAAGUCAGGGGUGAAGUCCUGGAGCUCAACUCCAGAACUGCCUUUGAUACUGAGGAUCUUGAGUUCGGGAGAGGUGAGUGGAACUGCGAGUGUAGAGGUGAAAUUCGUAGAUAUUCGCAAGAACACCAGUGGCGAAGGCGGCUCACUGGCCCGAUACUGACGCUGAGGCACGAAAGCGUGGGGAGCAAACAGGG